GACGCGGUGGCCUAAUGGUUAGCGCGCUCGACUCCAUUCCGAGCGGUCCGGGUUUGAGCCCUGGCCGAGAUGACU
rnacentral:tRNA from 1 species